rnacentral:misc_RNA from 1 species
UCCUGCAUUUUGGCGCCGGCGUCAUCCGCUACGAUCACACUGACUCCGCGCCGCCUUCGGUGCUCGAGUACGAUGCCGUGGGUCAGCUCGGUUUACGGGGAAGCUCGACCACUCCGGCGGGAAUGCCUCGCAUUGACAAUAUCUCAGGAAAUCAGGGAGGCCUGUCGGGUAACCUGGGACCCACAAAUGCGAACCGCUACCUGGACACCAAGCCAACCGGCGUGGCAAGCGCCACUCUGAUCCGGGGAAAUCACACCAUUAAGUUCGGUGGCGAAUGGGCUCGCAACCGAUGGACCGAUCUGAAUACACGCGGCGCG